rnacentral:ncRNA from 1 species
UCGAAACCGAUGAUUAAGAGUAGUAAGCUUUUCGGAAACUCACAGAGAGCCGUUGGUGCUGGGAAUACGGCAGUGAAAGAAACGCUGAAUGGACUUAUGAGGGCAACCGAAAGCGGAAAGAUCCGUUAGUAGUAGUUGACGGGGCGUGCCCGUUACAGUCACGAGCUGCAUGUCAGUGCAGGUUAAGCGGAUGAGUUUUUCAUCAAUUUGGGUGGCACCGCAGAAUUUGUUUAUUCUGUCCCAUAC